rnacentral:rRNA from 1 species
UACGUAGGGGGGCUAGCGUUGUCCGGAUUUAUUGGGCGUAAAGAGCGUGUAGGCGGCCAGGUAGGUCUGCUGUGAAAACUCGAGGCUUAACCUCGAGAUGUCGACGGAAACCGUGUGGCUAGAGUCCGGAAGAGGAGAGUGGAAUUCCUGGUGUAGCGGUGAAAUGCGCAGAUAUCAGGAAGAACACCAAUGGCGAAGGCAGCUCUCUGGGACGGUACUGACGCUGAGACGCGAAAGCGUGGGGAGCGAACAGG